CACACAGACCACAGGACCAAAAGACUUCACAAGGAAUGACAGAAGCUUUUCCAUUAAUAGCACAAGUUCCUUUUCUCCCUCAUCAGUCUGAGACUCUAGGACUGAACCUUUGCAACCAGGAGACAAGAGAGUUGCUAUCAGCACUUAAACCUCCCAAGUGGUGUUAUUUCUUAGAGAACUGGGCCAGAACUGAGCAAUUCUCAUGUGCCAGCAGUGCUUUGAGGAGGGGCAAGACAACAUCCCACUUCUGUCUGGAAAAAUUUGACUAUAAUAAAAAGUCAUUUCCCUUUCUUUCUCUCUGACCCAUAACCAAAGAAGCCGUGUAGAACAACACGGAGUAUUUAGGGGAGGCUUGAUUUAUCGCCGGCCAGGGGCUAUGUACAAACCACGAAUGGAACGGGACUGCUGUGGAACGUGCCUUGAGUUGUUUUAUUUUUCAGUUUCAGGGGAAUAUUGAUACAGUUUAUAAACACUCUCAUUCCCUGCAACUCAGUCCUUCACGGUGUAUCCCCGAAAUGGAUUUACUGCAUUCUUUGUUCCCAACAGCACCUCUCCAGCCCAAAUCCCACUUCUCACAGACACAAACUAAGCAAAGCUAAGGCAAUGGUUCCAUCAGCACCUGCGAUUCUGAGUUCCCUGUUCCCUGGAUAGCUCAUCCAAGCACUCAGCAAUUUCACCUCGGCCCAGAAACUCAGAUCUCUGUCCUCAGAGGGAAACAAAACCUGAUGGGACACAGCUCUGGCACCACAAUUCCUCUUCCUCUCCUCCUUUUUCCAGCAAACCGGGCUGCUGGAAAUGGCAUUCCCUAGGGAGUUCAUCUCAGCAGAGAGGAAAAGAGCAGCCUAAGUGGGAGCACGGGUGACGGGGUCAGCGGCUCCAGGGGCGGGUGGGAGGCACACGGGUGACGGCAGCCAGCGGCGGGACCAGCUCCGUCCCGGGCGCGCCGCUCCUGCGAGGAUCCCCCAGCGCCACGAAGGCUGGAUGAGUGUCGCUGAUUUAUCUAUAAGCCAGUUCUGAAGCCCUCUGCGGAGAUCUGCCUGGGAGGAAAAGCAGAGCCAAGCACUGAGAACUGACAUGUGAGCUCUGGUGAGGACUGCCACUCCCCCUGCCUUGGUGUGGGGCCUCCUGAGCUCCCAUUCCUGUGCUGGGAGUGUUUAUCCUCUCAUCCAGCCUAGCCAGAGACCUCCUAGGGAACAAGCAGCUUCUCCGCUUUUGCCGCUCCUCUCGAUAUUGCUGCCCUGUUGAAGGCUCUGCCCAGAUGCCCCGGCGCAUCAGGGUAGUGCCCCCAGCUGCUAGCUGCUGCUGUGCUCCCAGCUAGCCGGCGUGGCCUCCCCCCCGC